rnacentral:rRNA from 1 species
GACGAACGCUGGCGGCGUGCUUAACACAUGCAAGUCGAACGGUGAAGCGCCUUCCUUUUUGGUGGGUGUGGAUGAGUGGCGAACGGGUGAGUAACACGUGAGUAACCUGCCCCCUUCUUCUGGAUAACCGCAUGAAAGUGUGGCUAAUACGGGAUAUUCUGGGUCUGUCGCAUGAUGGGUCUGGGAAAGAUAUUGUUUCGGUGGGGGAUGGGCUCGCGGCCUAUCAGCUUGUUGGUGGGGUGAUGGCCUACCAAGGCGGUGACGGGUAGCCGGCCUGAGAGGGUGGACGGUCACACUGAGACUGAGACACGGCGCAGACUCCUACGGGAGGCAGCAGUGGGGAAUAUUGCACAAUGGGCGCAAGCCUGAUGCAGCGACGCCGCGUGAGGGAUGGAGGCCUUCGGGUUGUGAACCUCUUUCGCCAGUGAAGCAGGCCUGCCUCGUUUGUGGGUGGGUUGACGGUAGCUGGAUAAGAAGCGCCGGCUAACUACGUG